rnacentral:rRNA from 1 species
UACGUAGGGUGCGAGCGUUGUCCGGAAUUACUGGGCGUAAAGAGCUCGUAGGUGGUUUGUCGCGUUGUUCGUGAAAUCUCACGGCUUAACUGUGAGCGUGCGGGCGAUACGGGCAGACUAGAGUACUGCAGGGGAGACUGGAAUUCCUGGUGUAGCGGUGGAAUGCGCAGAUAUCAGGAGGAACACCGGUGGCGAAGGCGGCAUCCUGGACCAAUUCUGACGCUGAGGAGCGAAAGCCAGGGGAGCAAACGGG